UGAAGAUUGAGAAACAGAGGCAAUCCGAGUUUUUAACAGCCUUGAACCUCAGAGGUACAACACGAAAACAGGGGAGGGACAGAUUCUGUAACCUAAAACGUGUAUAUAUAAGAUUAGUUUAGCCAAAACAGCGAAACAGUACUACUGAAUUCAACUGUAAAAUCCCCUUUUCCUGGUAGAUUAGUAAUAUGUGCAGUACUGCUGUAUAACCUAUAGGGGUCCCUAGUGUACCCAGUCUAAUUUGUGGAAUUUUUAACUGAAUGGUCGCAUGGACUUAGGGAUUCCUACAAGUACAAUAUAGCAUUUGGCAGAAAUCUAAACGAACGACUCCCAAGGAGGAACAAAGUAAUGUAUAACUGCCGAACAUUCCAGCGAAAGAACAAUUAAAGCAUACAUGCUGCAUGAAACGUGAGUAUUGUUCGAGCGUGCGAAACGAAACUGUCGAACAGGUAAGUAUAAUCCCACGAACAAGUAUAUGAACUGAUAGACAAUAGUGGCAAACUACCGAACCACCGUUCAUAUGAAGUUGUAAACGAAAGUUUGCACAAAAGUAUACGAACAGAGGGUAAGUAUAUGAAAUAGAGUUGACCUGUGAUGACUGUAGUGGAGUAGCAGGGGUUAAUCCAAGAGCUCUCCACUGCGAACAAAGUUUCAGCAUACAAGAAUACAGGAACACAGCAUAAUCCCCCUCCCCAAGGACUAGACGACACAUAGUCUGGGAGUCAACUGAGGUCUUUAUUCACAAAUCUGCUUUUAUGCAUUUGUCCCAUGCAAGGGAGGCAACUUUCACAAUUAUUACAGUAUCCAAUCACAUAAUCGGUACCUCCCCCACAUCUCCUCCCCUUAGCUUAAGUUAAACUUAUUAAAAUGUACAUACUUUUACCCAAUUCUUUGAUGUACCACAAAUACAGGGGGUACACCUUUAAAUGAGUGAUCCCCUGGUAGCCCUGAUCCGGGUGAGAAACAUACUCAAAAAUCACCCAGAUCGGACCAGGGGUUCGGGAGUUAUUGAAGGGAAAAGAUUUGACCGACCGCACGGGCAGAGUAGCUGAAAAUAGCUCCAUGAGUUUUGGCCCUGCGGUCGGUCUCAGUUCCCUUGUAAAAAGUCACGAAAGUCUUUGCCAUCCAUGCUUGAAUUUACAUUCGAAUGAAUCCCCUUGUUCGCGGGAUUCAUCCUACCGAAUGCUGAGCUGUUCGUGCGUUUGAUUCUUCCCUUUCCGGAGUGCUGGAGGUCUUAGCGGUGCUUGCUUAGUCGAGUGUCCGAUUUGAGUUCCAGACACUCGACGACCAAACACCGCUGUUCGUGCGUAAGAUGGCCGCCGCCACGUGUUCGACAGGCCAGGCGAAUGGCGGCCACACACGAACCUCAAUUACCAGCUUUUGCAACAUUGUUGCCUUCGGUAAUAAGUGACACACGACU